AGAGUUUGAUCAUGGCUCAGGAUGAACGCUGGCGGCGUGCCUAACACAUGCAAGUCGAACGAACCUAAUCUUCGGAAAGGGUUAGUGGCGCACGGGUGAGUAACACGUAGGUGACCUGCCCCGAAGUGGGGGAUAACUUCUCGAAAGAGAAGCUAAUACCGCAUAUGCUCAGCCAUUCAGUUGGUUGAGUAAAGCUCCGGCGCUUCGGGAGGGGCCUGCGUCCGAUUAGCUAGUUGGUGGGGUAAUGGCCUACCAAGGCGAUGAUCGGUAGCUGGUCUGAGAGGACGAUCAGCCACACUGGCACUGACACACGGGCCAGACUCCUACGGGAGGCAGCAGUGAGGAAUAUUGGUCAAUGGGCGAAAGCCUGAACCAGCAACGCCGCGUGAGGGAUGAAGGCCUUCGGGUCGUAAACCUCUUUUCUGGGAGAAGAGACAAGGACGGUAUCCCAGGAAUAAGUCUCGGCUAACUACGUGCCAGCAGCCGCGGUAAAACGUAGGAGGCAAGCGUUAUCCGGAUUUACUGGGCGUAAAGCGCACGCAGGCGGCUGCGUAAGUCGGACGUGAAAGCUCCUGGCUCAACUGGGAGAGGUCGUUCGAAACUGCGCGGCUUGAGGUUGGAAGAGGAGAGCGGAAUUCCCGGUGUAGUGGUGGAAUGCGUAGAUAUCGGGAGGAACACCAGUGGCGAAAGCGGCUCUCUGGUCCACACCUGACGCUCAGGUGCGAAAGCGUGGGUAGCGAACGGGAUUAGAUACCCCGGUAGUCCACGCUGUAAACGAUGCGAACUAGGUGUUGGUAGUAUUAAACCUAUCAGUGCCGAAGCUAACGCGAUAAGUUCGCCGCCUGGGGACUACGGCCGCAAGGCUAAAACUCAAAGGAAUUGACGGGGACCCGCACAAGCGGUGG
rnacentral:rRNA from 1 species